rnacentral:rRNA from 1 species
CAGUCGCCACGGUAAUACGAAGGGGGCUAGCGUUGUUCGGAUUUACUGGGCGUAAAGGGCGCGUAGGCGGGCGAUUAAGUCAGAGGUGAAAUCCCAAGGCUCAACCUUGGAACUGCCUUUGAUACUGGUUGUCUUGAGUCCGGGAGAGGUGAGUGGAACUGCGAGUGUAGAGGUGAAAUUCGUAGAUAUUCGCAAGAACACCAGUGGCGAAGGCGGCUCACUGGCCCGGAACUGACGCUGAGGCGCGAAAGCGUGGGGAGCAAACAGGAUUAGAUACCCCUGUAGUCCCUGUCUCUUAUAC